GACGAACGCUGGCGGCGUGCUUAACACAUGCAAGUCGAACGGUGAAGCGCCUUCCUUUUUGGUGGGUGUGGAUGAGUGGCGAACGGGUGAGUAACACGUGAGUAACCUGCCCCCCUCUUCUGGAUAACCGCAUGAAAGUGUGGCUAAAACGGGAUAUUCUGGGUCUGUCGCAUGAUGGGUCUGGGAAAGAUAUUGUUUCGGUGGGGGAUGGGCUCGCGGCCUAUCAGCUUGUUGGUGGGGUGAUGGCCUACCAAGGCGGUGACGGGUAGCCGGCCUGAGAGGGUGGACGGUCACACUGGGACUGAGACACGGCCCAGACUCCUACGGGAGGCAGCAGUGGGGAAUAUUGCACAAUGGGCGCAAGCCUGAUGCAGCGACGCCGCGUGAGGGAUGGAGGCCUUCGGGUUGUGAACCUCUUUCGCCAGUGAAGCAGGCCUGCCUCGUUUGUGGGUGGGUUGACGGUAGCUGGAUAAGAAGCGCCGGCUAACUACGUG
rnacentral:rRNA from 1 species